CAGCGGGCCUGCACCUUCGCCGAGACAGCAGUAAAACAGUUCUGGGUAACUGCAGCGACUGGGUCACCGAUGCCGUUCCACUUCCUGCACUGCACUCCGCGUGGGUCAAAGGGCCAGCGUAUGCCUUUUACGGGUUGUCGCCAGCUAUACCGAGCUGUUUGAAGUCAUCACAGAUAUAAACUACACAUUGCGGCAACUCACAAUCGCAUUCCUGCCUGUCAUGUCGAACAGCAGAGCGCUAAUUUCAGUUUGAGGUCUGCACUCUUACUACAAUGCAGAUGGUGACAGCAUCAGGCUGCACUCGGUUACCGUCGUGAAUCAUGGACCAAGACUGCACUCUUAGGCCCACUCCUUUUUGGUGGAUCAGGUCUUGCCAUCUUCCCCUUUCGUGGCUUCCUGUCGUAAUUAAAUAAAUUGUCAUAUUUUUUUCUGAUGGUGGUGCAUACCUCUUGCCACACUUGACAAAAAUAGUGCGGUGAAUCCAUGCCACAGAUUACUGUGAAACAUGGAAGAAGGUAAUUAUUUAGAAGAUUAAGCUCCGAAAAGUUUGAUGGAAAGACGAUAGAUAUACCCCGUUUAAUAUUUGUGGCCACAUCUCUGAAGUAUUUCACCUUAUCAUCGCAUCGGCUUUUGACCAUUCACACUUGCACGGAAAAGCAAUCGGCAAGGGUUUCCAAGUCUGUUCUGUUUGCAUCUAAUUACUGAA